CAGACGGAGAGCUGAUGCAAAAGUCAGUUUACAAGUCUUUCGAUAUCCUUUCCUAUGUUUUUUACUACAAACGCUUCAGUUACAGAAUGUUUUACACUGCGUACAACGCAUUAUAAAUAUAUACAACUUUCAACAACGGAUCUCUUGGCUCUCGCAUCGAUGAAGAACGCAGCGAAAUGCGAUAAGUAAUGUGAAUUGCAGAAUUCAGUGAAUCAUCGAAUCUUUGAACGCACCUUGCGCUCCUUGGUAUUCCUUGGAGCAUGCCUGUUUGAGUAUCAUGAAAUUCUCAACUCCCAAGUUUUCUGAACGGAAAUCAUGGCGAGCUUGGACUUGGAGGCUUGUGCUGGUUUCUGAAUUGAAAUCAGCUCCUCUGAAAUGCAUUAGCGUGAAUCUUACGGAUCGCCUUCAGCGUGAUAAUUGUCUACGUUGUGGCUGUGAAGUAUUUGUGUGUUCACGCUUACAGUCAUCUCGCAAGAGAUAAACACUUUUCAACUUCUGAUCUCAAAUCAGGUAGGACUACCCGCUGAACUUAAGCAUAUCAAUAAGCGGAGGAAAAGAAACUAACAAGGAUUCCCCUAGUAACUGCGAGUGAAGCGGGAAAAGCUCAAAUUUAAAAUCUGGCAGUCUUUGAUUGUCCGAGUUGUAUUCUAGAGAAGCGUCUUCCGUGC
rnacentral:rRNA from 1 species